GUACACUCCUACGGGAGGCAGCAGUGGGGAAUAUUGCACAAUGGGCGCAAGCCUGAUGCAGCCAUGCCGCGUGUAUGAAGAAGGCCUUCGGGUUGUAAAGUACUUUCAGCGGGGAGGAAGGCGAUAAGGUUAAUAACCUUGUUGAUUGACGUUACCCGCAGAAGAAGCACCGGCUAACUCCGUGCCAGCAGCCGCGGUAAUACGGAGGGUGCAAGCGUUAAUCGGAAUUACUGGGCGUAAAGCGCACGCAGGCGGUCAGUCAAGUCGGAUGUGAAAUCCCCGGGCUCAACCUGGGAACUGCAUUCGAAACUGGCAGGCUAGAGUCUUGUAGAGGGGGGUAGAAUUCCAGGUGUAGCGGUGAAAUGCGUAGAGAUCUGGAGGAAUACCGGUGGCGAAGGCGGCCCCCUGGACAAAGACUGACGCUCAGGUGCGAAAGCGUGGGGAGCAAACAGGAUUAGAUACCCCGGUAGUCCCAUG
rnacentral:rRNA from 1 species